rnacentral:rRNA from 1 species
AACGGCCGUACCAUGCUGAAUAUACCGGUUCUCGUUAGAUCACCGAAGUCAAGCAUCAUUGGGCGCGGUCAGUAAUUGGGUGGGUGACCACCUGGGAACACUGCGUGCCGUU